UACGUAGGGGGCAAGCGUUGUCCGGAAUCAUUGGGCGUAAAGAGCGCGUAGGCGGCCCUGUAAGUCCGCUGUGAAAGUCAAGGGCUCAACCCUUGAAUGCCGGUGGAUACUGCAGGGCUAGAGUCCGGAAGAGGCGAGUGGAAUCCUGGUGUAGCGGUGAAAUGCGCAGAUAUCAGGAGGAACACCGAUGGCGAAGGCAGCUCGCUGGGACGGUACUGACGCUGAGGCGCGAAGCGUGGGGAGCAAACAGG
rnacentral:rRNA from 1 species